rnacentral:tRNA from 1 species
ACCCUGGACGUAUUUGCCUAUUGGACAUGACAUCUGCCCGGUAAGCGGAAGGUUGUGGGUUCGAUUCCCGCCCCUGGACA